UCAAGUUAUUAAGGGUGCAGGGCGGAUGCCUUGGCACUAGGAGCCGAUGAAGGACGUGAUAAGCUGCGAUAAGCUUCGGGGAGUUGCACGUAAACUUUGAUCCGAAGAUUUCCGAAUGAGGAAACUCACUUAGAGUAAUGUCUAAGUAUCGUUAAGUGAAUACAUAGCUUAGCGAGGGGAACCCGGGGAACUGAAACAUCUAAGUACCCGGAGGAAGAGAAAGAAAUUCGAUUCCGUAAGUAGCGGCGAGCGAACGCGGAACAGGCCAAACCAAUGAAGUUUACUUCGUUGGGGUUGCGGACAUACAACAUGGAUGCAAUAUCGUAAAUGAAGAGAGUUGGAAAGCUCCGCCAUAGAAGGUAAUAGCCCUGUAGUUGAAACGAGAAAGCUACUAGUAUGAUCCAGAGUACCACGGGACACGUGAAACCCUGUGGGAAGCAGGAGGGACCAUCCUCCAAGCCUAAAUACUACCUAGUGACCGAUAGCGUAUAGUACCGUGAGGGAAAGGUGAAAAGAACCCCGGGAGGGGAGUGAAAGAGAACCUGAAACCGCAUGCCCACAAGAAGUCAGAGCCCGUCAAAGGGUGAUGGCGUGCCUUUUGUAGAAUGAGCCGGCGAGUCACGAUCAGCAGGCGAGGUUAAGCAGGAGAUGCGGAGCCGCAGCGAAAGCGAGUCUUAAGAGGGCGAAAUAGUCUGAGGUCGUGGACCCGAAACCGGGUGAUCUAGCCAUGAGCAGGUUGAAGUCGGGGUAAGACCCGAUGGAGGACCGAACCGACCCCCGUUGAAACGUUGGCGGAUGACUUGUGGCUAGGGGUGAAAUUCCAAUCGAACCCGGAGAUAGCUGGUUCUCCCCGAAAUAGCUUUAGGGCUAGCGUCGCAGCGAGAGAGCCGUGAAGGUAGAGCACUGAAUAUGCGAUGGCCGCAUCCCGCGGUACUGAGCAUAAUCAAACUCCGAAUGUCACGGUGUCAUCUGCGGCAGUCAGACGGCGAGUGAUAAGGUCCGUCGUCAAGAGGGAAACAGCCCAGACCAUCAGCUAAGGUCCCAAAGUGCAUGCUAAGUGGAAAAGGAAGUGGAGACGUGCAGACAACUAGGAGGUUGGCUCAGAAGCAGCCAUCCUUCAAAGAGUGCGUAACAGCUCACUAGUCGAAUGACUCUGCGCCGAUAAUUUACCGGGGCUAAGCAUGACACCGAAGCUAUGGACAGGAAUGUGGUAGGGGAGCAUUGCAUGCAGCGGAGAAGCAUGACCGGGAGGGCAUGUGGAGCGCAUGGAAGAGAGAAUGCCGGCGUGAGUAGCGGCACGUGGGUGAGAAUCCCACGCACCGAUGGCCCAAGGUCUCCAGAGGAAGGCUCGUCCUCUCUGGGAUAGUCGGGACCUAAGGCGAGGCCGAAAGGCGUAGCCGAUGGACGACGGGUGGAUAUUCCCGUACCCGAUGUGUGGCGAUGGAGUGACGGAGAAGGCUCAGGCAACCAGCUGCUGGAAUAGCUGGGGCAAGCGAGAUACCUGCGCACCAGGGAAAUCCGGUGCGCAUAAGGGGAAGGCGCGAUGCAUACGGAAAGCUUCGGCAAGUACGGAAAAGCUGAGAGCAGGCUUCCAGGAAAAGCUUCUAGCACAACACACAUCGGCCCGUACCGAAAAUGGACACACAUGGGCAAGGAGAGAAUCCUGAGGUGAGCGAGAGAACUAUAGCUAAGGAACUCUGCAAAAUGACCCCGUAACUUAGGGAGAAGGGGUGCUCCAGAAAUGGAGCCGCAGUAAAACGGCCCAAGCGACUGUUUACCAAAAACACAGCUCUCUGCGAAGGCGCAAGCCGAAGUAUAGGGGGUGACGCCUGCCCGGUGCUGGAAGGUCAAGGGGAGCUGUCAGCGCAAGCGAAGCAGCGAGCCGAAGCCCCAGUAAACGGCGGCCGUAACUAUAAAGGUCCUAAGGUAGCGAAAUUCCUUGUCGGGUAAGUUCCGACCUGCACGAAUGGU
rnacentral:rRNA from 1 species